GACGUAGGGGGCCAGCGUUGUUCGGAAUUACUGGGUGUAAAGGGUUCGUAGGCGGUGUGGCAAGUCGGGAGUGAAAUCUCUGGGCUCAACCCAAGAGUCUGCUUCCGAAACCUGCUGUGCUUGAGUGUGGGAGAGGCGCGUGGAAUUGCAGGUGUAGCGGUGAAAUGCGUAGAUAUCUGCAGGAACACCCGUGGCGAAAGCGGCGCGCUGGACCACUACUGACGCUGAGGAACGAAGCUAGGGAGCA
rnacentral:rRNA from 1 species